rnacentral:rRNA from 1 species
GACAGAGGAGCCAAGCGUUGUCCGGACUGACUGGGCGUAAAGCGCACGCAGGCGGCGGGGCAAGUGGUGUGUGAAAGCGGACGGCUUAACUGUCCGAGGCCAUGCCAGACUGCCCGGCUCGAGCCAUGCAGAGGGUGGUGGAAUUGCCGGUGUAGUGGUGAAAUGCGUAGAGAUCGGCAGGAACACCGAGGGGGAAGCCAGCCACCUGGGCAUGCGCUGACGCUGAGGUGCGACAGCGUGGGGAGCGAACCGG